UUGAACGCUGGCGGCAGGCCUAACACAUGCAAGUCGAACGGUAACAGGAAGAAGCUUGCUUCUUUGCUGACGAGUGGCGGACGGGUGAGUAAUGUCUGGGAAACUGCCUGAUGGAGGGGGAUAACUACUGGAAACGGUAGCUAAUACCGCAUAAUGUCGCAAGACCAAAGAGGGGGACCUUCGGGCCUCUUGCCAUCGGAUGUGCCCAGAUGGGAUUAGCUAGUAGGUGGGGUAACGGCUCACCUAGGCGACGAUCCCUAGCUGGUCUGAGAGGAUGACCAGCCACACUGGAACUGAGACACGGUCCAGACUCCUACGGGAGGCAGCAGUGGGGAAUAUUGCACAAUGGGCGCAAGCCUGAUGCAGCUAUGCCGCGUGUAUGAAGAAGGCCUUCGGGUUGUAAAGUACUUUCAGCGGGGAGGAAGGGAGUAAAGUUAAUACCUUUGCUCAUUGACGUGACCCGCAGAAGAAGCACCGGCUAACUCCGU
rnacentral:rRNA from 1 species